rnacentral:rRNA from 1 species
CUAGCGGCGGGCUUAACACAUGCAAGUCGAGCGGAGAGGCUAAAAAAUGCUUUGUAGUGCUUGCACUACGAAGUAUUUCUUAGAAUUUUAGCGGCAGACGGGUGAGUAAUACAUGGGAAUCUACCUUGUAGCGUGGGAUAACAGAGGGAAACUUCUGCUAAUACCGCAUACAACCGAGAGGUAAAAGGCAGCAAUGUCACUACAAGAUGAGCCCUUGCAAGAUUAGCUAGUUGGUAAGGUAAUGGCUUACCAAGGCUACGAUCUUUAGUUGGUCUGAGAGGAUGAUCAGCCACACUGGAACUGAGACACGGUCCAGACUCCUACGGGAGGCAGCAGUGGGGAAUAUUGGACAAUGGGCGAAAGCCUGAUCCAGCAACGCCGCGUGAGUGAUGAAGGCCUUAGGGUUGUAAAGCUCUUUUGGUAGGGAUGAUAAUGACAGUACCUACAGAAAAAGCCCCGGCUAACUUCGUGCCAGCAGCCGCGGUAAUACGAAGGGGGCUAGCGUUACUCGGAAUUACUGGGCAUAAAGCGUGUGCAGGCUGAUCAAAAAGUCGAAAGUGAAAUCCUUGAGCUUAACUCAAGAACUGCUUCCGAUACUGUUGAUCUUGAAUAACAGAGGGGACAACGGAAUUCCUAGUGUAGGGGUGAAAUCCGUAGAUAUUAGGAGGAACACCGAUGGCGAAAGCGGUUGUCUGGCUGAUUAUUGACGCUGUUACACGAAAGCGUGGGGAGCAAACAGGAUUAGAUACCCUGGUAGUCCACGCAGUAAACGAUGAGUGCUGGGUGUCGGAUUUUAUAUUCGGUGCCGAAGCUAAUGCGUUAAGCACUCCGCCUGGGGAGUACGGUCGCAAGACUAAAACUUAAAGGAAUUGACGGGGACCCGCACAAGCGGUGGAACAUGUGGUUUAAUUCGAUGCUACGCGAAAGACCUUACCAAGUCUUGAUGGUGAUCAUAAGCUAUCCAAGAAACUGGAUAGUGCAUUUAGUUGGAUCAUCACAGGUGUUGCAUGGCUGUCGUCAGCUCGUGUCGUGAGAUGUUGGGUUAAGUCCCGCAACGAGCGCAACCCUUAUCCUUAGUUGCCAACAGUUUGGCUGGGAACUCUAAGGAGACUGCUGAUGAUAAAUCAGAGGAAGGUGGGGAUGAUGUCAAGUCAGCAUGGCCCUUAUGACUUGGGCAACACACGUGUUACAAUGGCGAUUACAGAAGGCUGCAACAGGGUGACCUAGAGCUAAUCCUUAAAAAUCGCCUCAGUUCGGAUUGUAUCCUGCAACUCGGAUACAUGAAGUUGGAAUCGCUAGUAAUCGCGGAUCAGCAUGCCGCGGUGAAUACGUUCUCGGGUCUUGUACACACUGCCCGUCACGCCAUGGGAGUCGAUUUUGCCUUAAGUAUGUGAGCUAACCGCAAGGACGCAGCAUACCAAGGUAGGGUUGGUGACUGAGGUAAAGUCGUAACAAGGUAGCCGUAGGAGAACC